AUGAACGCUGGCGGCGUGCCUAAUACAUGCAAGUCGAGCGAACCACUUCGGUGGUGAGCGGCGAACGGGUGAGUAACACGUAGGUGAUCUGCCCAUCAGACGGGGACAACGAUUGGAAACGAUCGCUAAUACCGGAUAGGACGAAAGUUUAAAGGUGCUCCUGGCACCGCUGAUGGAUGAGCCUGCGGCGCAUUAGCUAGUUGGUAGGGUAACGGCCUACCAAGGCGACGAUGCGUAGCCGACCUGAGAGGGUGAACGGCCACACUGGGACUGAGACACGGCCCAGACUCCUACGGGAGGCAGCAGUAGGGAAUCUUCGGCAAUGGGCGAAAGCCUGACCGAGCAACGCCGCGUGAAUGAUGAAGGCCUUCGGGUUGUAAAAUUCUGUUAUAAGGGAAGAACGACUUUAGUAGGAAAUGGCUAGAGUGUGACGGUACCUUAUGAGAAAGCCACGGCUAACUACGUGCCAGCAGCCGCGGUAAUACGUAGGUGGCGAGCGUUAUCCGGAAUUAUUGGGCGUAAAGAGCGCGCAGGUGGUUGAUUAAGUCUGAUGUGAAAGCCCACGGCUUAACCGUGGAGGGUCAUUGGAAACUGGUCAACUUGAGUGCAGAAAAGGGAAGUGGAAUUCCAUGUGUAGCGGUGAAAUGCGUAGAGAUAUGGAGAAACCCAGUGGCGAAGGCGCUUCCUGGUCUGUAACUGACACUGAGGCGCGAAAGCGGGGAGCAAACA
rnacentral:rRNA from 1 species